UACAGAGGUCUCAAGCGUUGUUCGGAUUCAUUGGGCGUAAAGGGUGCGUAGGCGGCGCGGUAAGUCGGGUGUGAAAUCUCGGAGCUUAACUCCGAAACUGCAUUCGAUACUGCCGUGCUUGAGGACUGGAGAGGAGACUGGAAUUUACGGUGUAGCGGUGAAAUGCGUAGAUAUCGUAAGGAAGACCAGUGGCGAAGGCGGCUCUCUGGGCCUUACCCUGACGCUGAGGAGCGAAGCGUGGGUAGCGAACAGG
rnacentral:rRNA from 1 species